GCCAUGGAAGCUUGCACUGCAAAAACAGCUUUGCUGUGGGAAUGUCUAAUUCUAAUUCAGAAAGAAUCUCAGGAGGGGGGAAAAAGUGUCACCUAUCCUAAGCCUGGGCUGCAGCUUUGAGCUUUCUAUUUUGAGUGGAAGAUACUUCAAUACGGCAAGAUGCUUUGAACUCUGCACUUCCCUGGGUCUGAAGAACUGGUGCCGGUGGCAGAUCCAGUAACGUGCUGUGGGGAUCCCAAGGCAUGUGGCACAGAUGUUAUCUAUCAUGGCAAACAGUCAGCAUCAUGUUUGAACCAUUUCUCUUCAGAAGAAAUCACUUUCUUGCACAUUGGAGCAGGGGUUUCACGAGAAGAGCCUUCCCGUCCCUGUCCUGCCUCGCUGCUAGGGACUUGGUUUUCUGUAAGCGAAACCCUUGAGGCUCAGAGCUCAGUGCCUCGGGAGCAGGGAGGGACUGGCUGGUGACAGGGAUGUCCAGCACAGCUUGUGGCGACACUUCAGUGUCAAAAUGCUCAAAUACUGUGGGUUGGGACAUAUCUCUGUAUCAAAGGGGGGGACUGAGUUAGAAUUCAAGGGUUAGAGUUCAUACUACUUGAAUCUGCAAUAUGUUUCUAUUUACUUGUAUUAAUUCCUUUUUUCUUAAUUCGUUUUUGGUUUUUUAGGCUUGUUUAUUUCCAGUCAUUCUGCCCUAACCAUUGCGGUUAGAGACCUUUUUAAAACCUAAAUUAAGAUUUUGCGGAUACCAUAGGAUCCCAGCUUUCAGGACUUUAAGAAUAUCUCCAUCUCCCAAUAUUGAAGAUAAAAUUAUGAAAGAGGGCACCAGGAUUUGCUUCAAUGCAAGUGAUGCGGAUUUGACAUAGAAUGAGUGAGUAGAGCUAAUACAGUAAACCUUGCAUCUAGCAGCUACUUCAAAAUAGCUGUGUGUCCUCUUUAGAAUUAUUGUUAUCUGCCGAAGGCCAGUUCUUGCAGUAGGGCUGCUGUGGGCCGGGCAGUUGUCUUUGACCGACCCAAACAAAUGAGCUGUGUUAUGGUUUUGGAUGCCAAGAGGCCAAAUUAAAAACCCCAGGUCAGAGGCAGAUGGAGCAGGGGCAGGAUCUGGGUGUGGGCUGCUCACCCCUUCUGCUCCAGCGUAGGCUGCCUUUUCAGGCAUUUCAUUCCUAGAUCCUGGGUCUUGGGAGUACAUGGGAGGUGGGGAUGACCUUUGGGAAUGGAGGACUUCCCAGCCAGCUGCCUCUCUCCUUCAUCCCCAUUGCUUCACCCCCUUGAGCUUUGCCAGCCUGCAGUGCCCGUGAGGGAGCAGCCUUGGGACAAUUACACCAGGUCCAUAUAGCCCAGAAGUCAAUGCAUUCAGCAAGCAUAGAUAGAGGCUGCUGCCCGCAUCUGCCUGUGCGGCCCCUGUGAGUUAUUGACAAACACACAUCCACACUUUUAUUUUCUGUCCUUUCCUUUCUGUCUCAGUUUUCACCUCCUCUGGCUCCCACAUCCUGCAAGGCUGUGCUUCACACACAGCAGCGGGAGCAUCAAAGAGGAGAUCCUGAAUAAAAACACUGCUUUAUGACAUGUCUUCAAAGUGCUUUUUUAAAAGUUCAAAGGACACCAUGAGGAAAAGAGAGGAUCAAAAUCAAAGGAAGACCGGGGGGAGGGAAGUUAAAGCCUCAGAGGAACUUUAUGGCACAUUUUCUGUAACAUUUCCAAUGCCAAAAUCACAAGCAUUGCUAGCACCAGCUCUCCUUUUUCUAUCAGACUCCUCAUUUACUUGCACCAGUUUCAAUGCAGCUUGGCAGCUCCCAGUAGCUUCUGCCCCACACACAGGUACAGGGCACCCACAAUUUCACUCUCAUAAAUUUCAUGUGAGACCAAAACUUCCCCUUCUGUUUGGGCCAAGGGGAAGAUACUUGGUCUGUAUUGCCUGGGAAGCCCUGGGGUUAACAGAAGAGCAGCUUUGCUCCUGCAGCAGGACAGCAAUGAGACAUGAUAACCAUGUAUGUUUCUGCUGCUUUUUCAGUAGGUUUGAGAGGAUUUCUUCUUUUGCCAGCACUCCCAGUGCCUGCCUCUGACAAACUGCAGCUUUUGGACAAGCAGUUGAAUUGCCGUCUUGAGAGCCUCCUAGGGAGUGGGCUCACCUUUAAGGAAAAGCUUUUUUUCUUUCCACAAAUGUAUCAUUCUGCUUUCCAGAAGUGCAUAAACUCUCAUCUCUUGCUGUUUUCUACUGCAGGACCACAUUAUUUUAUAUGUGUUUGGGAAGUUUCCAUUACUGUUAGGGGAAAGGGACUUUUCAUCCUGAGAGAAGGUUGUGGUGUCUGACUCUAAGCAAGAAAAGAGAAGCAAAGGACAUGCUUCUGUGUGAACACCCCAGAGGUGACGGUGUUUCCUCAUCCAGCUGCUUUUCCAGAGUUCAUAGAGUCAACACGUGCAUGUCAUUCCCACAGCAAAUACUCGGUCCUCGUCCUGCUGAGGCACGCCCAGCAGUGCUGCUGGAGCAGCAGGCAGCAGAGCGGCAGAGAUGCACAGCCAGCAGCGAGUGAUCAGAAAUACUUGUAUGACUUGAGCGAGUUUUCAUGUCCAACACCUUCAGACGUGGAUGAUUUCAUCUUUGUUUUCCUCUCUAAAUGUUGCAACUGACUUCUAUUCUUUUUCCAGAGCAGAGCCACCUUCCCAGUUGCAGAUGCUCUCAUUUUUUGGAGGAAAUGAUUGAGCAAUUAUUAGUUAUCACUGCUGCAUAAAUGCUCAUCUCUGGAUGUUCCAUGCUGUACAAACAUGAAGGCAGCGUGCAUUUGUGCCAGUGGAGAUGGUUCGGCUGCAGGCAGGCUUGGUGCCACCUGCUUUCCAGGAGAGAUUUCCACUGCCCGUUGAACUGGAAGUGCUGGGGCUUGUGGUAACAUGCUGUCUGUGUGCAUGCCUUUCUUCUCGUGGCUCUUAUGCUCAGCUGGGGAAUUUAAUUAGAAGUUAGCCAUGGAAAAAUCCAUAAUACUUACAUAUAGGUGAUGUGGGCUGUGUGUAACUGGGGAAUAAUCUUAAUUAAAACCUGAAUGUAGGUUAUUGUUCAUCAGAAAGGAGUUGGUUGAUUAUUUCAAAUACAAAAAAGAAAAAAAGCCCACACCCCAACUGAAACCCCCAACAACAAACCCCACAGAAGGUUUUGCAGCAUUAACCCUGGGUAGUGCAGCAAUGGAUGCUGGAGGUUGUGGUGUGGUGGAUGGUCUUGAUCGAGGGCUGUGCUGGCGUUUGAAGCACGGGUUGUCAGUACCCUGUGCAGGGCGCAGAGCAAAGGUGGGCUUAGGGAGCAUUGGACUAAUACAGGCAAAGGAUAUUUUAUGGCCUGCACUGAUUUGCUGAAUGUGGAAUUUGAGAUAAAAUUGUCGCAGGUGGUAGAAACUCAUCUGGAAGCCCGUUGUGACUGUGGUGUCUUGGCAAACCCCACCACAUCUUGCUGCAAUUGCUCUUAUUAAAGCACCUAAGGGUUAAAGAUGAAUGGUUUCCCUUCCCCCAGUCAGUGAAGGUAAUUACACCACCGUCUAUUUAGUGGCAAAAGAAUUUGCCAUUGAGUAGAUAGGGCCCGGCUUCACCAGAGCCCUUCAGCCGCCCAACAAUAUCACAUUACCCUGACUGCAUAAAGAGCGCGAGCGAUUUCCGCUGGCGGGUCCAUAAUGGAGGUAUCUCUUUACAAAGCCCCCACUUCAGGCCAGCUGAAUGCCUCCGCCGAGCCUCAGAAAUCCCGCAGCCCUAAUCCCUUUAGCAACAAAGAUCUGUUUCUUUGCUUAGCAUGAAGUAGACCUCAGAGGCCGGUGUGUGCCUUGGCCUGUAGGCCAAAAGCCUCCUGUUUACAAUUUCCCUAUUCCUGUUUUUAAUGUUGUUCUGAGAGCAGCCACAAAGGGCUGGUUUUGUCCAGCAGGAACAAGGGAGCUAUUAGAGAGGGAUGGAGGAAGGAAGGAAGGGAGAUCCAAAUGGAGCAGCCCAGGAGGGAUUAGCAUACACAGCUGUUCCCUCAGGGGCUGGAGCUUUAUGCUUUUUAUAAUUUCCCUCUCAUUUACAUUUUUUAAUAUCUGGUUUCCUUGUUUCCAGGCCCCCCCAUCCAUGUCUUCAGGACCAUCUGCCCAUUUUGGAUUUUUUUUUUUUUUUUGCUUUUCAGGCAGGCGCUACAGCCCAGCGUGCUCAACAGCUCCAGGGUUAAAUCUUACAAUCCCUAUCAACCAGCCUCCGGUGGUUUUUUUGUUCACUUUAAGCCUCCUCAGUUGCUCAUUUUACAACAUGAUUCUCCAUCCGGCCCCGUAGUCCCUCCCUGGCAGCGGGUUGGGAGGGCAAUGCUGAGCAUCCCUGUGCUGGGAUGACCAAGGCUGAGGGUUUUCAUCCCUGAAUGCACAUUGUUCUUGACUCUGCCAAGACCAGAGGAGAGAAUAACCGAGAUGUUUACAAUAUUGUUUCAUAGACUGCUAAAAAGCAUCUGUCUGUUUUGCAGAAGUGUGAUGAAACGUGUAUGAGUAUGGGACGUGGCGCAGCUUGCUGUUGCUGGAACACUGUGGGGGAUAAGGGGCAGUUGCUUUUUAUUAUGCACCACAUCCCAGAUUAUGUCAGCUAUUGACAAAGGAAUUAACAGGACACGUAUAUCUCAUUUUAAUUCCCCUCUUCCAAGGUGGUGAUCUCCCAGGUACCCUGGUUUGCAGAGGGCAGAGUUGGUGAGUGGAGCCAGCCAGGUCUGACUGGUGACACUGCUGGGAUACACCUGCAAGCCAGACCCAAGGACAUGCAGGGCAUGAAGCUAGGUGACUGCUCAGGUGCCUGGCAGAAGAGAGGAAGACAUGAGUGCUGCGGUUGCUCUGGGUACAGCAGAGCUGGCUAUGCUGGGCCAGGAUGCAGGAUCAGGCCACACUGGCUCCUUGACGCUGUAGCUCGAGCGCUGUGAAACUGCCAAAACCAUGAGCAGUGAGCAUCUGCGGCAGGUGUCGGAUGCGGGCACACAUGACGAUGAUGAUACCCUUAUCAGCUGAAGGGUUGCAGGGAGCCAUGCAUCCACUCCUCGCCCACCAUUGGCCUGAACCACCUUUGCUUUACCUCACCAUUCAGAAAGUUUGGUACGGAAACGUGAGCUCUGUUGUUCAGCUCUGAAGUACUCUGUGUAGCUCACCUCUGAGAGAAAAAUUUCACUUUGCAAAGCUGGGGAGAGCAGCUGCUCUGAUGCUCCUGCCAAAUAUAUACUUCUGCAGUUUCCAAGGGUCUAUUAUACAAAAAUGAAGCCUGAAACCUCAGUCUGAAACCGAACAGAGAACUGAACCGAAGGGGAGUUUCGGCAGUGUUCCCCCUGCUGCGGGACGGGCUGCGCAGCGCUGCUGCAGCUCCAGCCUUGCAUAAAUGAAGGACUCCUGUGCUUCUACUUCCAUGGCUGCUGAAUCCGUCCUGUCGACCAUGGUACCCCUGGCCAUGUCUCCACAUACACCUCACCCGCAGCCACAGCUGGGCCAUGACAAGUCACAUGGAUGCAACGGAGUUAAACCUAUUCCCAAUUUAAUUUUUAAUGCAGUAUCACCAGAAAAGGAACAGACACUCCUCACCCAGUAACUGCUGAAAGAGAGCCCCAGGUAGUGACAGUGAGAUGGGGUGGUGCCAUAGUGAGGAGGACAUGUGUUCCUAAUGCAGCAAUCCCAGCUCGGGUGCUCUCUGGCUAGG